CAGCCGCCGCGGGAAUACGAAGGGUGCAAGCGUUAAUCGGAAUUACUGGGCGUAAAGCGCGCGUAGGUGGUUCAUUAAGUUGGAUGUGAAAGCCCUGGGCUCAACCUGGGAACUGCAUCCAAAACUGGUGAGCUAGAGUACGGUAGAGGGUAGUGGAAUUUCCUGUGUAGCGGUGAAAUGCGUAGAUAUAGGAAGGAACACCAGUGGCGAAGGCGACUACCUGGACUGAUACUGACACUGAGGUGCGAAAGCGUGGGGAGCAAACAGGAUUAGAUACCCGGGUAGUCCCUGUCUCUUUACC
rnacentral:rRNA from 1 species